rnacentral:rRNA from 1 species
AGACCUUUAGUUUGAACCCCGAAACCAGGUGAGCUACCCCGAGACAGCCUAUAUUGAUUUAGGGCUAACCCGUCUCUGUGGCAAAAGAGUGGGAAGAGCUCCGGGUAGAAGUGACAGACCUACCGAACCUGGUGAUAGCUGGUUGCCUGAGAAGUGGAUAGAAGUUCAGCCUCGCACACCCCAAGCCAGAGAAUACACCGCUAAGGCACUCAGGGAAAUGUGGGAGAGUUAGUUAAAGGGGGUACAGCCCCUUUAACAAAGGAUACAACCUUUGCAGGAGGAUAAAGAUCAUAAUAUAUAAAACAUGCUGCUCUAGUGGGCCUAAAGGCAGCCACCUAAACAGAAAGCGUUAAAGCUCAGGCAGAAAGAAGUUUAUUAUACCGAUAAAAAAUCUUACUCCCCUAAUUAUAUCAGGCCAACCCAUGCCAACAUGGAAGAGAUUAUGCUAAAAUGAGUAACAAGAAGACCUGCUCUUCUCCCAGCACAAGUGUAAGCCAGAUCGGACUAGCCGCUGGAACUUAACGAACCCAACCCAAGAGGGUAGUGUGAAUAGUACAGACCCCAAGAAGAACUCACAACUAAACAAUCGUUAACCCCACACUGGAGUGCUAUUGUAAAGGAAAGACUAAAAGAGGGGGAAGGAACUCGGCAAACACAAGCCUCGCCUGUUUACCAAAAACAUCGCCUCCUGCAACUAUAUUGAGUAUAGGAGGUCCAGCCUGCCCAGUGACUACGGGUUCAACGGCCGCGGUAUUUUGACCGUGCAAAGGUAGCGCAAUCACUUGUCUCUUAAAUAGAGACCUGUAUGAAUGGCUAGACGAGGGCUUAACUGUCUCCCCCCUCCAGUCAGUGAAAUUGAUCUAUCCGUGCAGAAGCGGGUAUAAUUAUACAAGACGAGAAGACCCUUUGGAGCUUAAGGUACAAAAUCCAACCACGUUAAACGACCCCCUAAAGGGCAAGAACUUAGUGGCCAAUGAAGUUUUACCUUCGGUUGGGGCGACCACGGAGGAGAAAAAAGCCUCCGAGUGGACUGGGUUAAAACCCAAAGCUAAGAGAUACAUCUCUAAGCCGCAGAACAUCUGACCAAAAGUGAUCCGGCUAAAAAGCCGAUCAACGAACCAAGUUACCCUAGGGAUAACAGCGCAAUCCUCUCCCAGAGUCCAUAUCGACGAGGGGGUUUACGACCUCGAUGUUGGAUCAGGACAUCCUAAUGGUGCAGCCGCUAUUAAGGGU